rnacentral:rRNA from 1 species
AACGUAGGUGGCGAGCGUUAUCCGGAUUUACUGGGCGUAAAGCGUGUGCAGGCGGGGAUACAAGUGGUGUAUGAAAUUUCCCAGCUUAACUGGGAAGGGUUAUGCCAGACUGUAUUUCUGGAGUGCGAGAGAGGGGCGUGGAAUUCCGGGUGUAGUGGUGAAAUGCGUAGAGAUCCGGCGGAACACCGGUGGUGAAGACGGUCUCCUGGGCCGAGGGCCGACGCUGAGGCGCGAGAGCGUGGGGAGCGAACCGG